GUCAACUACCCGGGCUUAAAAGCCCAGGCUUGAGGGAAUAGCCCUCUUGCCUAGUUGAUUAGCCUAAGUGCUUUGAGUACUACGUUACAUAGUAAAUAUACUAUAGGCACCCCGGGAUGCCCCACAAGUCCCAGGCA
rnacentral:sRNA from 1 species